UACGGAGGGUGCGAGCGUUGUCCGGAAUCACUGGGCGUAAAGGGCGCGUAGGUGGCCUGUGGAAGUCUGCGGUGAAAGCCCGGCGCUCAACGCCGGGUCGGCCGUGGAUACUCUCGGGCUCGAGCUUACUAGAGGCAGAUGGAAUUCCGGGUGUAGCGGUGGAAUGCGUAGAGAUCCGGAAGAACACCGGUGGCGAAGGCGGUCUGCUGGGGUAAUGCUGACACUGAUGCGCGACAGCGUGGAGAGCAAACAGG
rnacentral:rRNA from 1 species